GGCGGAGUGGUGUAAUGGUUUGAGUCCUGGACUAUGACUCUGGAGUCCAGAGUUCGAAUUCCCGCUUGGCCA